rnacentral:lncRNA from 1 species
UGAAACCCAGCUUUAAAUUCCAAUUAAUUUGAUCCUAUAUAUCUUUGCUAAUGGCUCUGUCAAAUCUCAUGGACAGGAAAAAUUGCGACGAUGUCUGGGCUUUCCAAAUUCGAUUUCGCUCACUUUGCUAUCCAAAAGAUAAGCACCAUUCUGUUUAAGCACCAUUCUGUUUCUUUUGUAUUCUACCUCGCCUAAUUUUUGCACAUUAAUGAAACUGCAUGUCAACAUGUUUUUUAAUGAAUGUGCUUAUCAUGAUAUUUGCCACUUAAAAGAAAAGUUAAUUAAUACCCACCGAUUAAAAUUUCAUCCUCUUUUAAACUCUGUGUGUAGCGGUGAAUAUAAAAGUAUGAGUGAUAAAAGCAACACAAUGGAAAAGCGAUGCAACCAUAAAAUUAAAAUUAAAUACAUUAAAAGCAACACAACCAUAAAAUUAAGAUUAAUACACAGAGUCCUUGUACAAAAACUAAAUACAAAAUGUAAAGUAGGAGAAAACUUAGGGAGGAGACAAAAAAAAAAAAAACCAAAGACAUAAGCUAUAAGGCCCAAAGCCCCGGCAAAACAACAAAAGGGCCACAAAAGGACAUUUGAUUCAAAACAGAUUGUCAUUCACCAAAUCAUUAACAAAAGACUUAAUAAUAUUCAAAGUUUUGGUUAGCCUUUGGACAUUUUGCUUCAACUUCUUAAAUUUAUAGGCCAAGGAAGCAUAUGAUGCUUGCAAGGCCUAUAAUUGACCUUAGCUAUCAAUGUACUUGGCUUGAAGGUCGACAAGAGCCUGUGUAUAGCUUUUUUUCACAACAGACAAUUCUCUGUAGUUAUAGUCAUGUAUUUCAAGUUCAUACACAGCUUUUAAAGCAUCCAAAGCUGAAAUUGUGGCUAUAUAUCUAGCCUCUUCCAUAUUCACAACAGUCAUCCCAAUUCUGUCAGCCAUAGCUUUACUCCCUUGUGAAUCAUGGUGCAAAAAAAUGCACUUAAUAUAAAAUUACCCUUCGUCUGUAGUCUCUAACUAGUAGAAAGGGGGCAGUAAACCCAGCUCAGAAAGGACUUUAAACAACAUGUUUUCAAGUGUAAUCCUAAUGAUCAUUGUUUAAAGAGGAAAAGAAAAAUAAAUAAAUGAAAAUAUGUGUGUGGAAAUCAAUAAAAACCUCAAUCUAAAGACAUUUCUAUAGCACAAACAGGCCAAUAACAAAGAUCACUAUCCAACCAAACGUCUUAUGCAAUUGAGUUUUUUUUAGACAAAUAGGUCGCUUAUAUUGCAAAAUUAUGUUUUUUGUAUAUAAAAAGGGCCUCAAUGAUGUAUAUCAAUGUAAAUUUCAUGCAAAGCCUACCAGCCUAAGUGUUCAUCUCAAUUUCCAGUUUUUUUAACACAUGUAUCCACAAUGGUUCCAAAAAAAAAGUAUUUCUAAUGCUGCAUUUACCAUUGAAUCCACCCCAUUCCUUUUCUACUUUUUGAAAUAGUUCAGAUCUAGUAGUCUGAGUUUCUUUAACACAGCAGAUGUCCAUAAUGUCUUUCAAUAUGGUUUGUCAUUGUUGAAGUUUCUAUAUAUAUAUAUAUAUAUAUCAAAUAGUUUUCACAUAUAAUAUGAAAGGCCUUUUAACUUUUUUGUUUUUGUCUCCAUUCAGCAGUUUCCAUUGAGUCAAACAAUAAUAGCUCUCGAUUGAAGUCAAAACAUUACAUAUUUCCAUAUAGACUAACAAAAGUGAGAGAAAACUAAACGAUGAGGAUAACUACCUCAGAACAAUAGUGAACAGAAAAGAGCUGCAAAAUAAAGAAUAAAAUAAAGAAGUAAAGUCAAUAACGAGGAAUACAACCACAAACAAAAUAAAUAAACAAUUAUAAGAGCAUUGAAUGAAAUAAAUUGAUGAGUUAUAGAAUAAAUAUGGUACCAGUUAAUGCAAAGCCUUCGAGCAUCUAUGAAAGAUUAAGGACAGGCAACUGCAAAAAGAAAAGGAAGAAUGCAUUUAAAGAGGGCUACAAUGAAGUAAAGGAGAAGCUGAGUUAAAAAAAAUAGAAGAAAGGAGAAAACUUGAGAGAAAAGAUGGCUGAAUGAAAAUGGGAAAACUAAAUUGAACAUACAAAUAAGAUGAGAGGCGUGAUUAGGGAAGGGAAGAGGCUGCUCAUCUUCUCUGCUGUUCUAAUCAUUUUCUCUAAUAAAAAAUUAAAAAAAUGGAAAUACUGACAGUGAAGUGACAGUAUUUUGGCUGGAUAAGUAAUCUCCUUGGGAACAGAAAGUGUAAACAGUGUUUUAUUGUAUAGAACCUGAACACAGGCAACCAAGAAGAUAUAAUUACACCUCGUUAAAGGUGUGAAGAAGCAGGCUGCAUUAAAUGCUCAAAAUAUCUAGGGGGCUUGUUGAAAAAUGGAAAGGGUUACAACAGUGCAAUGUUCAGAUCAUGGGCUGUGAUUAUCUCUUAAUAGGAUUUCAAUGCAUUUGUACCGAGGGACUCUGACUGAGAAGCCAUAUAUCUGUAACUCUUUUACUCGGGCUUCAUUUAAUGAAUGGAAGCUUCCAACGCGCAGAAAAAAAAGCUUGCUUAACUGUUAAUGAAUACUGAAUUAUUGCAAUCAUGCCUUAAAAUCACCUGUUUACACCAUUUCAGCAUCUCUAUAUGAAGUGCCUGUCAUUGAGUUGAAUCUUCUAAUGUCUAAGAAUUAAAAGUUCUUCAAUGACAAAUGAUUUAUUAUGUAUUGAUAUUAAUAUAGACUUCAGAAUGUUUUAUUAUAUAUUGAUAUUUUACAGAUUUGAAAACGCUAUAUGUAUGCAACCAUUGUGUUUAACUGAAUUCCCACUAUUUUAAUGAACACUGAAUUGUUGCAAUCAUGCCUUUAAAUCACCUGUUUAUACCAUUUCAGCAUCUCUAUAUAAAGUUCUUCUCAUUGAGUUGAAGCUUCUAAUGUCUAAGAAUUAAAAGUUCUUCAACGGCAAAUGAUUUAUUAUGUAUUGAUAUUAAUAUAAACUUGAUAAUGUUUUAUUAUAUAUUGAUGUUUUACAAAUUUGAAAAUGUUGUAUGUAUGCAACCAUUGUGUUUAACUGAAUUCCCACUAUUUUUGUCUCCCAUCACUGCCUUUUAAUGAGCUUUUAUUCUAGCAGGGAAAUAGGAAUAAAAAAGAGACUGAUGGAGCCAAGGAGGACAAAGCACACCGUCAUUUUGGUAAGGGAAGGAAGGAUUUGAAAACCACCAUUUUGUUGAUGAGUGUCCAGCAAGGCAGAAUUGAAUAAAGUUUAAAUAAAUUGCCGAAGGGUGCAGAUUGCACUGUGAAGUCUAGAUCAAUUGCCAAAAACCGUAGGUUGCACUGUUCAGGGCCUUGCAGUGAGCUUUCAUUCUAUCAGGGGAAUGGGAAGAAAGAAAAGAGAGGAUGGAGGCAGACGAAACACAUCGUCAUUUUGGUAAGGGAAGGAGGGUUCUGAAAUGGCACUGUUUUGUUGGUUAGUGCCGAGCAAGGGAGGACGUGGAAAGACUUAAAAACCAAGGGAGAAAAAGGGAGGAGAGCAUUUAGAAGGGCAAAUGCAUAAUUGAAUGAAUCCAAAAUCAAUUGCCGAAAUAUUGUAAAUCGUAUUGUUCAUAGGCUAACCACCCUUUAUUAUAUAGUUAUAGAUAUUAAUUUUAUUAAUUUUUUUCAAAACAUUCACCCAUUUGCUAUGGGGCAUGAUUUUUUUUUUUUUUUUACAGAAGGUAAAAGAUAUAUUGAUUAUAAAAAAAGUAUAUAAGGCCUAAGCCUAGAUACAAAUAGGCCCCUAGGUCCAAUAGAAGAGAAACAUAAUGAAGCCCUAAAACCUAGAGGCCCAACCCGAAAACUUGACCUGAAAGAGAAGAAGACCCGAAGGAAGCAAACCCUGCCAUGCCAUCUUCCUCUAAGCUACUCCAACCGCCAACAACAUAAAGUCGAUGGCUUAGAAAACUCCUGCAACAACAGCCAUUUCAGACUAUUCUUAGCAUACUAAAGCCCCAGGAGGUGAAGAGAGCGCCGACAGCCACAUGCAACCCAGAGAAAAACCUCGAGAAAUAAAAAAAAGCAAGAGAUCACAACCAUCAGAGCGAGAAAAGCAGGUGAUGAUGAUGAUGAGCCAUGAGGUUUAUAGAACACCAUCAUCAAGGUCAAGGUAGUUGGCCAGAAACCAAACAGCGCCGACCAAGGUAAAUAGGGGGUACGAUUUUUAGCAUCCCAAUCGCGCCUUUCGAGCUAAGCCCACAAUCGACUGUCGCGCCAUCCUUUUUCGGACUUAAAUAACAAGGUGAAGAGCGGGAUCUGGCCGCUACAACCUGCAUGCAACAUUCACAACAAGGGAAGCCAAGAAAUAACAACACAACAAUAACUAAUAGUUAAUCAGAUCAACCGAUCCAUCUCUAUUUUCCUCAGGUUUAUAAAAAAUACGAACAAAACUAAAUAGAAUAAAAAACCAAAACAAAAUGAAAACAAAGAAAUCCAGAAAAUACAUCACCAGGAGGUGGGGAGGGUAGCACACUCUCCGGGCUGGUCUCCUGCGCCGUCUGGGUAGGAGGGACCAAUUAGCGACUGUAAAGGAGAGACAAGCUCUCAGGGAGGGACCGAUUAGCGAGCGUAAAGGAGAGACAAGCUCUCAGGGAAAAGAGAAGAGAAAAAAAGAGAGUGUCGAUUACAUGGGGCAUGCAUUUCAAACGCUUUAUUUAGCCAAUUUGCAUA